rnacentral:snoRNA from 2 species
AAUAUAUGAUUAACUUAGAAAGGGCCUCAUAGAGAAGAUUAGGCUUAAUCCACAUGGAAAGUUCAGACAUAUGCUUGUCAUGUU